rnacentral:rRNA from 1 species
GACGAACGCUGGCGGCGUGCUUAACACAUGCAAGUCGAACGGAAAGGCCCUGCUUUUGUGGGGUGCUCGAGUGGCGAACGGGUGAGUAACACGUGAGUAACCUGCCCUUGACUUUGGGAUAACUUCAGGAAACUGGGGCUAAUACCGGAUAGGAGCUCCUGCUGCAUGGUGGGGGUUGGAAAGUUUCGGCGGUUGGGGAUGGACUCGCGGCUUAUCAGCUUGUUGGUGGGGUAGUGGCUUACCAAGGCUUUGACGGGUAGCCGGCCUGAGAGGGUGACCGGCCACAUUGGGACUGAGAUACGGCCCAGACUCCUACGGGGGGCAGCAGUGGGGAAUAUUGCACAAUGGGCGGAAGCCUGAUGCAGCAACGCCGCGUGCGGGAUGACGGCCUUCGGGUUGUAAACCGCUUUCGCCUGUGACGAAGCGUGAGUGACAGUAAUGGGUAAAGAAGCACCGGCUAACUACGUG